CACGUAGGGUGCGAGCGUUGUCCGGAAUUAUUGGGCGUAAAGAGCUCGUAGGCGGUGUGUCGCGUCGGCCGUGAAAACCUGCAGCUUAACUGUGGGCUUGCGGUCGAUACGGGCAUCACUGGAGUUCGGCAGGGGAGACUGGAAUUCCUGGUGUAGCGGUGAAAUGCGCAGAUAUCAGGAGGAACACCGGUGGCGAAGGCGGCUCACUGGACCGGUACUGACGCUGAGGCGCGAAAGCGUGGGGAGCAAACAGG
rnacentral:rRNA from 1 species